rnacentral:ncRNA from 1 species
CGUAGCUUCGCACCCGACGGUUGCCCGAAAGGGCUGAAAAUGGGAACACGGUGCGGACCCCGCGGCGAUUGGCCGUGCGGGGGUUCUACGCCGAGGCUGCCCCCGCAACUGUAAGCGGCGAGUCGUCCAUCGGAAUGCCACUGGGAUCGUGAUCCUGGGAAGGCGAUGGGCAGACGAUAACCCGCGAGCCAGGAGACCUGCCGUCAGUCGUGGUCACACG